rnacentral:rRNA from 1 species
UACGUAGGCAGCGAGCGUUGUUCGGAUUUACUGGGCGUAAAGCGUGCGUAGGCGGCGGUCCAUGUCUGGUGUGAAAUCUCCCGGCUUAACUGGGGGGGUGCGCCGGAAACGGGGCUGCUGGAGUGCGGGAGAGGUAAGCGGAAUUCCCGGUGUAGCGGUGAAAUGCGUAGAUAUCACUCGGAAGGCCAACGGCGAAGGCAGGUCACUGGUGCGCAACUGACGCUGAGGCACGAAAGCGUGGGGAGCAAACAGG